rnacentral:rRNA from 1 species
UGACGGAGCAAUACCGCGUGAGGGAUGACGGCCUGUGGGUUGUAAACCUCUUUUCUCAAGGAAGAAGUUCUGACGGUACUUGAGGAAUAAGCAUCGGCUAACUCUGUGCCAGCAGCCGCGGUAAUACAGAGGAUGCAAGCGUUAUCCGGAAUCACUGGGCAUAAAGAGUCUGUAGGUGGUUUGGUAAGUAUGUUGUUAAAGAAUGGGGCUCAACCCCAGAAAAGCAGUGGAAAGUUCUAGACUGGAGUGUGGUAGAGGUAGAGGGAAUUCCUAGUGUAGCGGUGAAAUGAGUAGAUAUUAGGAAGAACACCAAUGGAGAAGGCACUCUACUGGGCCAUAACUGACAGUGAGAGACGACAGAUAGGGGAGCAAAUGGGAUUAGAUACCCCAGUAGUCCUAGCCGUAAACGAUGGAUAAUAGAUGUUGCACGUAUUAACCCGUGCAGUAUCGUAGCUAAGGCG